GACCAGAUAGCUCAGUCAGUUAGAGUAUGGUGCUGAUAACACCAAGGUUGCGGGUUCGAUGCCCGUUCAGUCCC
rnacentral:tRNA from 1 species